GACGUAGGGCGCGAGCGUUGUCCGGAUUUAUUGGGCGUAAAGAGCGUGUAGGCGGUUUGGUAGGUCCGCUGUGAAAACUCGAGGCUCAACCUCGAGACGUCGGCGGAAACCAUCUGGCUAGAGUCCGGAAGAGGAGAGUGGAAUUCCUGGUGUAGCGGUGAAAUGCGCAGAUAUCAGGAAGAACACCCGUGGCGAAGGCGGCUCUCUGGGACGGUACUGACGCUGAGACGCGAAAGCGUGGGGAGCGAACAGG
rnacentral:rRNA from 1 species